rnacentral:rRNA from 1 species
AUUGAACGCUGGCGGAAUGCUUUACUCAUGCAAGUCGAACGGCAGCACGGGGGCAACCCUGGUGGCGAGUGGCGAACGGGUGAGUAAUACAUCGGAACGUGCCCAGUCGUGGGGGAUAACGUAGCGAAAGUUACGCUAAUACCGCAUACGAUCUACGGAUGAAAGCGGGGGACCGUAAGGCCUCGCGCGAUUGGAGCGGCCGAUGUCAGAUUAGGUAGUUGGUGAGGUAAAGGCUCACCAAGCCGACGAUCUGUAGCUGGUCUGAGAGGACGACCAGGCACACUGGGACUGAGACACGGCCCAGACUCCUACGGGAGGCAGCAGUGGGGAAUUUUGGACAAUGGGCGCAAGCCUGAUCCAGCCAUCCCGCGUGCAGGACGAAGGCCUUCGGGUUGUAAACUGCUUUUGUACGGAACGAAAAGGCUCUGGUUAAUACCUGGGGCUCAUGACGGUACCGCAAGAAUAAGCACUGGCUAACUACGUGCCAGCCGCCGCCGUAA